AAAUGUGAUAAUUGUUUGUAA
rnacentral:miRNA from 1 species